UGUUUUGUGCUGUUUUUCUAGGAAGGAACAGCAAAGUCAGCAAUGGAAGCAAAGGAAGAUGGUGUUGGUAUUAUUGAAAAUGUGCCACCCGAGCAAACAGUUAAUGACAGUUUGACUUCUGCUGGUGGAGUGCAUUAAAAUUACAGAAGUGAUAUCAUGUCAGCAUUAGAAUUAGAAGAGGAAGAUGUAGAAUCACCUUCUCUUCCUGAGUAUCAAGUUCCAUUAAAGGUUGAAGAAAAAAAGAAGCACAGAGGAAGUGACAUGGAAGUAUCAGAAAACAUACAUGAUGCUGCGGCUGCUGGAUUAAUUCCACAAAGACAGAAUGGAAAAACUGAUAACCAUCAAUUGCCUCUUACAGAAAAUAAAGAUUCU